rnacentral:rRNA from 1 species
UACGGAGGAUGCAAGCGUUAUCCGGAAUGAUUGGGCGUAAAGCGUCCGCAGGUGGCAAUGUAAGUCUGCUGUCAAAGCGGCUGGCUCAACCAGAUAAAGGCAGUGGAAACUACAUAGCUAGAGUAAGGUAGGGGUAGAGGGAAUUCCUGGUGUAGCGGUGAAAUGCGUAGAGAUCAGGAAGAACACCGGUGGCGAAAGCGCUCUGCUGGAACUUAACUGACACUGAGGGACGAAAGCUAGGGGAGCGAAUGGG